UGCUGUUGCUAAGUCUUUGUUGGGUA
rnacentral:sRNA from 1 species